rnacentral:rRNA from 1 species
GCGGUCGGUUUACAGGUGGUGCAUGGUUGUCGUCAGCUCGUGUCGUGAGAUGUUGGGUUAAGUCCCGCAACGAGCGCAACCCUCGUUCUAUGUUGCCAGCACGUGAUGGUGGGGACUCAUAGGAGACUGCCGGGGUCAACUCGGAGGAAGGUGGGGACGACGUCAAAUCAUCAUGCCCCUUAUGUCUUGGGCUUCACGCAUGCUACAAUGGCCGGUACAAAGGGUUGCGAUACUGUGAGGUGGAGCUAAUCCCAAAAAGCCGGUCUCAGUUCGGAUUGGGGUCUGCAACUCGACCCCAUGAAGUCGGAGUCGCUAGUAAUCGCAGAUCAGCAACGCUGCGGUGAAUACGUUCCCGGGCCUUGUACACACCGCCCGUCAAGUCACGAAAGUUGGUAACACCCGAAGCCGGUGGCCUAACCCCUGGUGGGAGGGAGCUGUCGAACCGGG